CCCAUCCUCCCCUUGGGGUUGCACUACUCUCCAAUGAGUGCAUAGUGCGGGCAGUACUGCUAAUGCCUAAAAACAAAGUGUCACUGAAUAAUGUCUUCUUUUAACCAUCCAAGGUAUUUUUGUGCCU
rnacentral:snRNA from 1 species